UAGAGUUUGAUCAUGGCUCAGGACGAACGCUGGCGGUGCGCCUAAUGCAUGCAAGUCGAACGGCGCCUGUCCGACUUGUCGGGCAGGGGUAGUGGCAGACAGCUGAGUAACACGUAAGUGACCAACCCCGAAGCGGGGGAUAAUCCGGAGAAAUCCGGCCUAAUACCCCGUAAGCUCGCUCCGAUACGUCGGGGUGAGGAAAGGUCCCACUUCGGUGGAGCCGCUUUGGGACGGGCUUGCGGCCUAUCAGGUAGUUGGUGGGGUAAUGGCCCACCAAGCCAAAGACGGGUACCCGGUGUGAGAGCACGAACGGGCAGAGGGGGACUGAGACACGGCCCCCACUCCUACGGGAGGCAGCAGCAGGGAAUCUUGCGCAAUGGGCGAAAGCCUGACGCAGCGACACCGCGUGGGGGAAGAAGGCUUUCGAGUUGUAAACCCCUUUUCUCGGGGAAGAGUAAGGACGGUACCCGAGGAAUAAGCCUCGGCUAACUACGUGCCAGCAGCCGCGGUAAGACGUAGGAGGCGAGCGUUGUCCGGAUUUACUGGGCGUAAAGGGCGAGUAGGCGGCCCAUCAAGUCUCAUGUGAAAUCUCUCGGCUCAACUGGGAGCGGUCAUGGGAAACUGGUGGGCUCGAGGGCAGUAGAGGAGAGUGGAAUUCCCGGAGUAGCGGUGAAAUGCGUAGAUACCGGGAGGAACACCAGAGGCGAAGGCGGCUUUCUGGGCUGCACCUGACGCUGAGGCGCGAAAGCGUGGGGAGCGAACCGGAUUAGAUACCCGGGUAGUCCACGCCCUAAAUGGUGGAUACUAGACAUGGGGGGUAUCGACCCCCUCUGUGUCGUAGUUAACGCGUUAAGUAUCCCGCCUGGGGAGUACGGCCGCAAGGCUAAAACUCAAAGGAAUUGACGGGGGCCCGCACAAGCAGCGGAGCGUGUUGUUCAAUUCGAUGGCAAGCGAAGAACCUUACCAGGGCUUGACAUGUUUCCGACAGUCCCCGAAAGGGGAUCUUCCUUCGGGACGGAUUCACAGAUGUUGCAUGGUCGUCGUCAGCUCGUGUCGUGAGAUGUUGGGUUAAGUCCCGCAACGAGCGCAACCCUUGUCGUUAGUUACCUUGUCUAGCGAGACUGCAUGUAAAAAACAUGAGGAAGGUGGGGAUGACGUCAGAUCAGCACGGCUCUUACGUCCUGGGCUACAAACACGCUACAAUGGCCUGAACAGAGGGUCGCCAAGGCGCAAGCCGGAGCCAAUCCCACAAAUCAGGCCUCAGUUGGAAUUGCAGGCUGAAACUCGCCUGCAUGAACGUGGAGCUGCUAGUAACCGCAGGUCAGCACACUGCGGUGAAUACGUUCCCGGGCCUUGUACACACCGCCCG
rnacentral:rRNA from 1 species